CGGAACACGUACAGAACCUUCCUUUAAGCGGGGGAUAGCCCAUAGAAAUGUGGAUUAAUACCCCAUAGUAAUACUAGCUGGCAUCAGUUGGUAUUUAAAGAUUUAUCACUUAAAGAUGGCUGUGCGGCUGAUUAGGUAGUUGGUGCGGGUAACGGCCCACCAAGCCUUCGAUCAGUAACUGGUGUGAGAGCACGACCAGUCACACGGGCACUGAGACACGGGCCCG
rnacentral:rRNA from 1 species